rnacentral:rRNA from 1 species
ACCUUCGGGCCUCUCGCGUCAGGAUAUGCCUAGGUGGGAUUAGCUAGUUGGUGAGGUAAGGGCUCACCAAGGCGACGAUCCCUAGCUGGUCUGAGAGGAUGAUCAGCCACACUGGAACUGAGACACGGUCCAGACUCCUACGGGAGGCAGCAGUGGGGAAUAUUGCACAAUGGGCGCAAGCCUGAUGCAGCCAUGCCGCGUGUAUGAAGAAGGCCUUCGGGUUGUAAAGCACUUUCAGUCGUGAGGAAGGUAGUGUAGUUAAUAGCUGCAUUAUUUGACGUUAGCGACAGAAGAAGCACCGGCUAACUCCGUGCCAGCAGCCGCGGUAAUACGGAGGGUGCGAGCGUUAAUCGGAAUUACUGGGCGUAAAGCGCAUGCAGGUGGUUUGUUAAGUCAGAUGUGAAAGCCCGGGGCUCAACCUCGGAAUAGCAUUUGAAACUGGCAGACUAGAGUACUGUAGAGGGGGGUAGAAUUUCAGGUGUAGCGGUGAAAUGCGUAGAGAUCUGAAGGAAUACCGGUGGCGAAGGCGGCCCCCUGGACAGAUACUGACACUCAGAUGCGAAAGCGUGGGGAGCAAACAGGAUUAGAUACCCUGGUAGUCCACGCCGUAAACGAUGUCUACUUGGAGGUUGUGGCCUUGAGCCGUGGCUUUCGGAGCUAACGCGUUAAGUAGACCGCCUGGGGAGUACGGUCGCAAGAUUAAAACUCAAAUGAAUUGACGGGGGCCCGCACAAGCGGUGGAGCAUGUGGUUUAAUUCGAUGCAACGCGAAGAACCUUACCUACUCUUGACAUCCAGAGAACUUUCCAGAGAUGGAUUGGUGCCUUCGGGAACUCUGAGACAGGUGCUGCAUGGCUGUCGUCAGCUCGUGUUGUGAAAUGUUGGGUUAAGUCCCGCAACGAGCGCAACCCUUAUCCUUGUUUGCCAGCGAGUAAUGUCGGGAACUCCAGGGAGACUGCCGGUGAUAAACCGGAGGAAGGUGGGGACGACGUCAAGUCAUCAUGGCCCUUACGAGUAGGGCUACACACGUGCUACAAUGGCGCAUACAGAGGGCGGCCAACUUGCGAAAGUGAGCGAAUCCCAAAAAGUGCGUCGUAGUCCGGAUUGGAGUCUGCAACUCGACUCCAUGAAGUCGGAAUCGCUAGUAAUCGUGGAUCAGAAUGCCACGGUGAAUACGUUCCCGGGCCUUGUACACACCGCCCGUCACACCAUGGGAGUGGGCUGCAAAAGAAGUAGGUAGUUUAACCUUCGGGGGGACGCUUACCACUUUGUGGUUCAUGACUGGGGUGA